UGGUAGGAAACGAAGGAUUCAAGAAGGUAUUUGAUGAGCUUUCUGAUAUUCAUGUGUUAAGGGUAGAAAAUGCUAAAGACCCAGUUCCUACACUUCCACCAAAUAAAUUAAUUGUAAUACCUCAGCAUCGUUAUUAUCAUGUGGGAGAAAGCUUACCAAUUGACACUACACUCUCACCCUUCUUAAAGACUAGUGAUGUUAAUCCACAUGAUUUGAACGUCUACUUGCAUGGAGUUGCAGGAACACAGGGCAGUAAAGGAGGUUUUAAUUUAGACUAUCCUCUUGAUACUGCAUUGAUAAACAAAACUGUAGAUGGUCUGAAUGAAAAACAUAAUUACAAUAUACCACCUAAUUGGUGGGUUGAGGAGAAUAACGGUAUGGUUUUACAAGACGAUGGAACCUAUAAGGCAGAAUUUUACAUUCCAGAUGUUUUGUAAUUGGAAACCAACAUCUCUCUCUCUUUUUAUAUAUAGAAUAUAAAAUAAAGGGUGCCAUGGGUUGGCUUCUACCUUCUAAGUGAUGUGUUACCAGUAAAUCAAAUAAAUUAGUAAGGCCAUAUGUAUGCCUUCAUCAUGUACUUUUCAAUUUGAAUAAAAAGACAAUAAUUAUGUAGAAAUUGAUCUUGCAAUGCAUGUUUAAUUUUUUAUUUUAUCAACAAUAAAAUUUUUUAUUAAAAUUAAAGAAUCAGGAAAAUUUAACAUUUUCAAGAAUUUACCUUAAUCCAACAGACUUCGUAUUGUUCGUCUUACAAUACAUGUUAAAUUGCUGCUUUAUCUGAAGUACAAGAAAAUAUUUAAUAUAUUUUUAACUGUUUUUUCUUUUCUAUAAAUGAACUAAGUUAAUUACUUUUCUAUAAAUGAAUUAAGUUAACUGUUUUUUCAAGAAUUUAACUGUCAUAAAUAUAUAUAUAUAUAUAUAUAUAUAUAUAUUGUUGUAGUAAAAACACUUUGCAGUAAAUAAAGGUCAAAAAUACCAAGAAAAAAUUUAUUAUGUCUACUUACUAAACCAUAUGCAACAAAACUAAUUAUUUACAACCAACUUCAUUACAAAAUCAGAUUUGGGAAGAUAAAUUUUUUUAUGAUAAAUCUUUUGGGGAUAUAAACAAAAUUUUUUAAACUUGUAGGGAGGUUAAAUAUAAUUUUUUAAUAUUUUUAAGGAUCAAAAUGCAAUUUUUUACAAGAAUUUUUUUUUUUUUUAAAAAUAAAUUUCUUGGAAUGCCUCUGGUCUCCUUGAGUCUUCAUUAAGCUCCACUCUCCGAUAGUGUUUAUAUUAGUGUUUAAAAUUUUAGGGAGUGUAUUAUCAAAUAUUAUUCUCUUUAAUAUUUGGUCAAAUAUUUUAAUAAAAUAAUUUACAACUAUUAGGACAAUAAACAAUUACUUAAAUAACUAAUUUCAUCCUGCAUAUUUUAUUCUAAUAAAAAAAUACUUUUUGCUGAUAAAAAAAAUGGUGGAACCUUUUUUCGUCCACACAGUUAUUACAUGUUUAAUUUUAUCGUGUAUGAUGAUAAUGUAUGAAUAAUUACAACACAACAAAACAAAUAAUCGCAUUAAUUAUUAGUUUUGUCGAAAAUUUUUAAUUUUUUCUGUUUUGAUAAUUGUAUAUUUAGAUUGUUAAAAAAGUUACAAUCAAGUGUAUUUAGUCUAAUUGUUGCUCAUCAAGGAAAUGGCCACGAAAUGGAUUUUUCAAAUGACAGUAUGGUUGCUUAUUUUUGCUUACAGUGCUUGGUUUUCUCAUUCUUUUUGCAUUUGACUGAUGGCUUUGACAUUUUUGCUGGAAGGUCGAGUUUAUAUUCUGGAUAUGUACAACCCUGGAAUAUAUCCAUUAGUAAGUUGCAUAGACUCAAACUUGGGGUACUGCUUCUUUCUUACACAAGUCUAUCAAUCUCUCUUCUUCAUAUUUUCUGGCUUCCACCUAUCAGGUAACAAAUUCUUUUUACUCUUGUACAGUUGUUACUGUUGACUGGUUUGUGAAUAUUUCUCUGACAGGAUUAUGAGGCUAGGAGAUAUAUUGAUCAGAAUGUUGAAGUAGUGGUAAGCCUUCGUUAUUUCUCAGUGAAAUGAAUUAUAAUUUUUUCCCUUCAAUAUAAUAUGUUCAUUCUUCCUAUAAUUGAACAGAGUGGGACCACAACAAACGAGUACUUGACAAAAUUAGAUGAAGCACUUCAGGUCUACAGUCAUACCUGCUUUUUACUUCAAUAUGCUUUGCUUCUCAGUUUAUGCUGGAUGGUUUAAUCUCAAUGGAAAUAAGCUUUCAAAUGUGCUUUCACAAUGGAAUCUUGUUAAUCAGGAGAAACAAAUGUGUUAUACGUGCUGCUCUUAUCUUCUCUGAUAGAUUGUCUGCCUUACUUGGAAUUUAAAGGGCCCGUUGGUUUAUAUCAGUCAAUUUGUGUAUGUCAUCCUUGAGCCUGUGCUACCUGGAAUAUUUUUCUAUUAUUAUGUUUUUAACUCUAAGUUACAACAGUGUGUUCCUUUUUUUAAUUAAAAGGAGGGCUGUAAACCCAUUAAAUGACCACACGAGGCCAACCCGCACCACACAUCAGCAUCCAAAAGCAACUUUACCUCAGGCGAGGAUUGUCUAACCAGUCCACACCCACUGACCCAGCAGUAACGCUCUUAGCAAGAAAGUCUGCAACAACAUAAACAUGCAUUUAAUUUAUCUCUCUUUUUAAUUUUUUUUAAUUUUUUAUUAUUUUAUCUCUUGUCUCUAAAAAACACUCUCUUUUUUUUUUUAAAUUACAAAACAAGGAAAAGAAUAAUAAAAAAAAUAAAUCAAUAUAAUUGAGUAAAAUAGUUUGUUAUGACUUUCUUUUUUAACAAAUUUCGAACAGAUACACUCAAGUUAUUAAUUCAGACAUUUAAUUAUAAAGUUUUUCCAUUGAAAUAUUAAAAUAGAAAAAAACUAGAAAGUUCAAUUACCAAGAAUCAUUGCAUAUAUUUUAAUUAAAUAUGUCUCAUGUUAUCAAAUAGAAAAUACGAGUAUCGCGCUGGAUAAUUAUCAUAAAUUAUACAUUUAUAAAUGCAAUUUUAAAAUUAUGUUAUAAUAAAAUGAAAUAUAGUAUUGCAUAAUAUUAUGUACGAUAAGUCCAUUUAUUAAUUUUAUACAUAACAAUUCAACUUAUAGACAAUAUUAUGAAUAUUACAUUGACAUUAUCAUGCACGCGGAAUUAUAUAAGACGUCAUAAUAGUAUUUAUACGGCUUGGUAAUGCUAUUUUUUCAAAAUAUUCGUUGCCAAAAAAUAUGUAUUUUAAUCUAAUAAAGUUAGAAAUCCAUUUAUGUGCAUAUUUAUGUGUGUUUUUACUUUAGUUGACAUAAUUUUAUUAUAAAUUUUUUGAACAAUACAAUUUUAUCAUCAACCUAUUAUAAUUUAAAAAUAUUUAAAAAAUAACAAUACCAAGUAAAUGAAUUAUUAAUGAAAUUAACUUCAUCAUCCAUUUAUAAUUUAAAUAAUAUUAAAAAUAAUUUAUAUUCAUAAUUUAAUUGAAACAUAAAUACAUGAAAUACUAUAGAUAUUAAGGAACUUAUUUUAUUUUACAUGUAUAUUAAGUGAGAUACACAUCUAAAUAUAUAGAAAAGAUUAAAAUUAGUAUUGCAUCUAUUAGCUUUAAAUAUAUUCAUUAUAAUUCUACGAUUUAUUAUUUUGAGUAAAAAUAAAUAUUUUAUCAAUUUAGUAUCUCAAUUAAAGUUUUUUAGUAUGAAUGUACACAAAAGAAAAAAAAAAAAAUCUUUUAACGUGAAUCUAUUAGAUAUAUAAUAUUUCUCAAAUGAGAAUGAACAAUUUAUAUAAAUGAAAAUAAAAUUUAAUUUUUAUUAAUUUCUUUUAUCUUUGAAAUUUUAAUUUGAGUCAAUCUAGACAAAAAAAAAUUUAAAUUCAUAUAGAUAUUAUUAUGUUGUGUUUAAAUAAGAUGUCAAAUAUUAUUCUUUUAUUGAUUGAAGUAAUAAAAAUAAAAAUUAUUGUUCGAAAAUUGUAUUAGUAAAGCUUUAUAUAAGUUUGAAAUAUUAAUUUUUAAUUUGCUUGAAAAAACUAUUAUCAACAUUUAAUAAUUUGUAUUUGAUGGAUAACUGUAUAUUAUAAAUGCAUAUAUACUAUUUUAACAAUAAUAUGUAUGUACAUGAAUUAUCAAAAAUAUCAAAUUUCAAUGAUUUUCAUAUUAUAAGAGAAGAUACAUGAAAUUUAUUGAUUAGUUGGGUAAAAAAAAUGAAAAAUAAUUUCAAAUAAUUUUACAAUCACAUGCAUAUGUAUAAAGUUACCUAGGGACUUUUACAAAUAAUUUCAAAUUUUAAAGUUUUCUAGAAAAACUUAAAAAUCAAUAUUUCUUUUUUUGAAAAAAACAUAAUAAACUCAUUUAUGGCUUCAAAAAAUACAAUACAUUUUUACAAUAGUUAUCUUUAGUUAUUAAUAAAUUUUUAAUUUUUUUAAAUAUUAAUAAUAUAGCUAAUAUUAAUUGUAUCAAUAUUUAUGAAAAGUAAACUAUUUUAAUUUUUUUAAUUUUAUUUUUCUAUUUAUUUAAUAAAAAAUAGUAAUUACUUUAAAAAAUGAUAAUAGAAAUUUUAAUGUUAAAUUAAUAUGUCAUAAUUAGAUACCUAGUUUCAUGCAUUGUAUCUUAUUAAAUAUAAUUUUUAAUAUUUUAAUAAUUUUCACUUUUCAAUAUUCAAAUAAAAAUACUUUAAAAGGAAGAAAUGUUAAAAUUUAAAUUAAAGAUGAUCAUUUAUUAAAGAUUAAAUUAAAUUUAAAAUUGAGAUUAAAUGAUUAUAAGAUUAUUUAUUUAUGUAUAAAUAUUUAACUUCAUUGUAGAAAUUUUUUUUGUAAUUUAAUAAGAAUAUUAUAUUUGAUAUAUAUAUGAUAAUUAUUUGAAAAAUAAUUUACAAUUAAAUUAUAUUAUUAUUAUUAUUAUUUUGUUAUAAGAAUGGAAAUCAAUAUACUUCUUAAUUUUAUUAAUAAUAAUCAUUAAAAUAAAAAUAAAAAUAAAAAUAUCUUUUUUUUUUAUUUUAAACUUUUAUGAAUUGUGGUAUAGAAGUAUAAGCCAAUAUACUAUUUUAGUAUUGCCAAAUAAUUAUAAACUCAAAAUAAAAAAUUAUAUAGAAAAGUCAAAAUAAAGGUUCAACGAAGUUGACCCAAGUCAAUCUGAUCCAACCACGACCUAAUAAUGAUGCUGGUUCGGUUUUUGGUCUGAUUUUAAUAAUAUUGAUAAUAAUAAUAUGAAUGCCGAUAACAGAAUAAACAAAUAAGCACGUCAAUCAUUUUAAGCGACAUAAUUAAAAAUGAAUUUAGAAGGUGUACAGAAUUUUUUAAAAAAAAAAUUUUAGGAGAGUGAAAUAUAAUUUUUUGUUCUUAAGGAAUUAAAAUGUAAUUUUUCACAAGAAAUGAAACUUUGGCUUCCUUAGCUUUAUGUUUAGCUAUAUAAACAUUACAAAUUGCUCAGUGACCACCGGCAGAACCUUGGAACUUGGACUCAGAGCAUAUUAAUUGUGCUGGACGUGACAAUAAAUCGGAUCAGAUGGGCCUAAGAGUAAGUAUUCUUUUUGGUUUGAUUUAAAUCAAAUCAAAACAAUGUGAAUUGAAUAGAUAUAUAUUUUAUAAAAUAAAAAAUCCAAGAAUAUAUAAAAUUGAAUUGAAUCCAUUCAAUUCGACUAGUUCAAUUCUGUUUUUUUUUUUUCUUUUAAAUGAAUUUGAAUUUUUUUUUUUUUUUGAAUUUAAUGAAAACUAAACCUUGUCAAAAUAAAAUUUAAUUUUUUUAGGGCAUUUAAAUCGAAAAAAAUAUAUUAAAAAUUAAUUAAAUCGAAUAUUUUACCGAAAUAUGAUCAGCCUUAGGUGGAUUAAUUUUAAUUUGAAUUUAGGUAAUUUUCCAGAUCAUAUUUAUUAAAACAUGGAAAUGCUACAAUAUAUUAUGGGUUUUUCAUGAGUUUAAUAGAAUAUGAUGUCCAUAAAUAAAAAAAUUACAUUCUAUCCUAAUCACUACCACGAUGUCCAACUAGUUAUAUAUCAAAUUUUCUUUUUUUUUUUUUUCUAUCAUUCCAUUUAUAAUUUACUUUAUUUAACAUUAUGUGUCAAAUAACACAACUAAAUAUGUAAUUAACAAAGAAUCUAAAAAAUAAUUAAUAUACCAAAAAAAUAAAUAUAUAAUUUACGAUUGAUCACAGUCUAAAUUAAACCAUCUGAGUAAUUCUUCUUGAAAUUAUCAAGUAUUUAUUGACGAUGCACUUUGCAUACAUUUCGGGUUUAUUAGACAAAAUUAGUUAUUUGAAUAGCUAUUAGCUGUUUUAGUACCAUUUAGCAGUUAAUUAUUUGAGCAGCUUUUUAUAAAACGCUUAAAGCUAAAUAUUAUAUGAGUUAACUUUUCACUAAACACUACUUUAACCUUUAAAACCUAUUUCAAACAUUAUGUUACCAAAUAAUUUGUUAAGUAGCGUUCAACGUUUUGAUCGAAUAUAGUUUUCACAAUUUUCUUAUUGCAACAGGCAUAUGUUAAAUGUUUUUGGAGCCAUAUAUCAUAUAUACAUAUAAGGGCAAUCUCUUAAUUAUAUAAAAUAGUGUCAAAAACAAAUUACAUAUAAAAUAAUUCAUCAUGAUAAUAUUUUAAAAUAUCAUAAUUAUUAAAAAUGAAUUAAAAAUUAUUUGUUGACUAUUUGUUGAUAUCAAAAUGAAACACCCUGAAUUUUUAUUUUCGAAACAUUUGAAUUUUUAUUAAAUCAAAAAUUUUGAUUUUCAACUAUUCGGGCUAUAAACACCAAAUAAUCUUAACUUGAGUCCAAAAUUUUUGCGAGUUGGGCCCAAGCCAAGUAUAUUGUCGGAAUUUCAAUCGAGAACAGUUAAAUCGGGUCAAACUAUUGAUUUGGACCAAACCGGUUCGAAUCGAACCGGAAUGGCCUUGAACCCUCUAGAAACGCCUCCCCUCUUUUUUUUUUUUUUUUUCUUUUUCUUUUUUUUUUCUUUUUUUUUCUUCUCCUCUUCUGGAGGGCGCCGACCUCACCCCUCCCCCUUUCUCCUUUUCAUUUUUCCGACCACCGAAGACCAGCGCCUCCGCCACCACUCCUGUCGCCGUUGCCUCCUCACCGUGCUCUCCUCUCCAUCAUCACUUUUCCGACCGGUGCAAUAGUAGCUAGGAGCUGCGAUUCUGUUCCCGAUCGGGAAAUCGCAUCUCCAGCCUCUCCUUCGAUUUUCCCGUGACUCCAGCUCGAUCGGUCGGCUUUAGCUCCCUUCUCUGGCUGUGUCCCUUAAUUUCUCUCUCUUCCUUCCUGUUCCGGCUGGCGCAACGAUCAGGAGAAGCUGCGACUGUGGUUGCGAUCAGGAAAGUCUUGUUACCCUUUUUUUUUGCAUUUUCCGGCGAGCCCAGCCAAGGACCAGCCAAGGUAGACCUCCCACCUCGUCCCCGGUUCCUUUCCGACCACUGCCUCUUCUGUCUUCUUUAAAUUUAGCGGCGGCAGUAGCUACCGAUCGUUCUAACUGGAAAAUUUCGAUUUCCGGCGUAUGUUGCGACUGGGUAAGCUAUAUUAUGACCUUAAAUUUAAUUCAUGAGUUCUUUGAUCUUAGUUGAAGGAUUUGAGGUAUAUAAUUGAGCUAUCGUAGAAAUUUAAAUAUUCAGCUACUAUUUAUAUCAAUAUGAUUAGGAAUUUCAAUUUGUGCUCUUUCAAUAGGUAUAUAAACUAAAUCCUAUAUAGAAACGGUUAGAUUUUUGCUUGUAUUAUAAAUUUUUGUGAAGAAUUAAAGAUUCUUUAUAUUGGCAGUAGCUAUUUAGCCAUUAGCUUGAGAUUUAGGUAAGUAAUGAAGGUAAUGUAUACUAUAUGCUAAACUCUUGAUGGGAAAUUUUGAUCUUUACCAUCUAAUUGAUAUAUAACGUGAAUUCUUGUAUAGAAAUAGGUAGAUUAUUUGCUUAAACUACAAAUGUUUGCAAAGAAAUCAAGGUUCUCUUAACUAUGGCAGCAACUAACUUAAUUAUUUAUAUGAGUUCUAUGUUUUUUUUAGAAGGAAUGGUAUUACACAAAAUAAUUAUGUUGAGAAAUGAAUUGAUUAUCAUGUAAAACAUGAAUUUUGGUGGGGAAACUUAAAGGCAGCAACUAUAUUGUUCAUCUUGAUGAGUUUGAUAACGAUGAGAUUAGAAAUGGUAUAUUAAAAUGAAUUCUUUGUUUUUUUUAAAAAAUGAAUUUGCUAGUAAAUGAGUUUAAGCUGGAAUUUAGGAUUUCUAUGUAAUGGCGGUUGUUGCGAGGUUAGCUCUUAUGAGUUUUGGGCUAACUGACGACAAGAAUGGUUGUGUUUGAUUUGCUUAGGAUGAUAUGGAUUUAUUGGGUAUAUCUUUAUUUAAAGGGAAGUUCAAUCUAAGAACAUUUAAAUUAAACCUCGGAAAUUCGAUGUCUUUUGCAAUAAUUUGUAGAAAGGAAGAUAUGUACAUAGUUUCUAUUUGACUCAUGAAGCAUAUCUAAAUAAAUUGUGUGAAGAAAUCAAUUAAAGAAUAUUAAGUAAGAAUUAAUUGUGGAAUGUAAUAUUGCUAUUUGAGGAGGACGGGUAUGUGAUUAGUUGAUCGCCCGAUGGAUGGGCUGUGUGAUUGAUAAUUGCUAAGUAUAUUAAAUGGUGAUGUUUAAGCAGGUAGACAGUCCAAUUUUUAGGGGAGGUGCUGCCGAAAUUUUGAUAGAAAUUAGAUUAAAUUUUAAUUAAUAACAUAAUUAAUAAGUUUAUUUAGAUUAGUUCUAUAAUUUGGUACAUAAUAAAUCUGGUGCUCUGAUUAUUUAUUAUCUUUAUUAUUCAUUUCAUUAUUUACAUAUUUACUUAUUUAUUUUCAUUCUUAUUGUUAUUAUUGUUAUUUAUUUUAUUAUUGUUGUUUAUUGUCAAUACUAUUAUUUAUUUAUUUGUUUGCAAUGAUUUUCGAUGUUUAAUUGCGCAUUGCAUUACAAUGUCUAGUUGAUCAAUAUGUUUGCAUUUGACUGCGAUGUUUGAUUAAUUGUGUUGUGAUAUUACUGUGCUUUGCUUGUGUGGAAUUGGGAUGAAGUGGGUCACCAUGGGUUUGUGAGGACGGUCGAAAAAGCAUGGAUCCUGNNNNNNNNNNNNNNNNNNNNNNNNNNNNNNNNNNNNNNNNNNNNNNNNNNNNNNNNNNNNNNNNNNNNNNNNNNNNNNNNNNNNNNNNNNNNNNNNNNNNNNNNNNNNNNNNNNNNNNNNNNNNNNNNNNNNNNNNNNNNNNNNNNNNNNNNNNNNNNNNNNNNNNNNNNNNNNNNNNNNNNNNNNNNNNNNNNNNNNNNNNNNNNNNNNNNNNNNNNNNNNNNNNNNNNNNNNNNNNNNNNNNNNNNNNNNNNNGAAAAACAAUGAGAGGGCUGGUCAAGUGAGGAUUAGACCGGUCGGCCAGUAUGGGGGAUCGGCUCCCCGGUGCACAUGUGAGAGGAUGAGCCAUGUGGGAGGACGGCUCAUCGGGGGUUUGGUGACUCCACUGACUAAUUUCCACGUGAUGUGAUUAUAUGAAGAUGUUAAUGAUUGUGAGUGCCGGUGAUUUGCCAUUUGUGUGACUGGCUGCGUGAGCAUAAAACUAGUCGGGCGACAAGAUUAAUAUGUUUACACAUUUGUGUGACUGCGUGUGUGGUGCAAAAAUUAUUACUCCUUAGAAAACUCAUAUGACUUGUUUGAUUGUUUUCAGGAAUUAGGAAUUUCCUUCGAUUUGGCUAAGGCUAUGCAAUUUUCUUCGCAGGGCUAUAAAAUGUAAAAUUUUUAAAUUUUUGUGGUUAAGUAAUUAAUGUACUGUUAUAUAUAAGGAUUUCACCACUUCUAGAUGUUACCGAACUCCGCAGUUGUAGGAAUGAUAUACCACUAGUCAUGUAUUAAGUUGGUAGAAUAAUUUAUGAGAACCAAAGAUGUAUUAUAAUUAGGCCCAAAGUAUGUAUUAUUCGAUAUAUCUGAGAUUGGGCCAAAAAUUGUGCGAUUGUUAGUAUAUACACAUAUUUUUUUUAAUUUAUACAGGCUUACUACGGGCCUCGAGGGCUUUAAGCUUACUUGGGCCCUAGUGCCGGUCCGGCCCACGGAGACGGAUCGUGACACAAAAUAAGCAGAUCUCAACUUUAAGCGAUAAAAUAAAACGUAUCCAAUUGAGAAUGAAAAUCGAAUAAGAGGAACAUUUUACCCAUGUGAUAGACAAUGUCACUAAAAGAAACUCAUUAAUAGGAUUAAUGAGAAACUCAUUAAUAUAUAUAUAUAUAUAUAUAUAUAUAUAUAUAUAUAUUAGUGAGUAUUAAUGAGUGUGGGGAUAUGGCCGAGUAGUUUUUUAUUUCCUUUAAGAUAAGAACAAAAUAGUUUAAUAAUAGAACAGAAUAGUUUAAUAAUAACAAAUACUCGCAUUAAUUAUGAGUUUUGUCUAAAAUUUUUAAUUUUUUCUGUUUUGAUAAUUGUAUAUUUAAAUUAUUAAAAAAGUUACAAUCAAGUGUAUUUAUUCUAAUUAGUUUUUUUUUAAUUAAAUGACCACACGGGGCCAACCCGCACCACACAAUCAGCAUCCAAAAGCAACUUCACAUCAGGCGGAGGAUUGUCUAACCAGUCCACACCCACUGACCCAGCAGUAACGCUCUUAGCAAGAAAGUCUGCAACAACAUAAACAUGCAUUUAAUUUAUCUCUCUUUUUAAUUUUUUUAAUUUUUUAUUAUUUUAUCUCUUGUCUCUAAAAAAAACUCUUUUUUUUUUCAAUUACAAAACAAGGAAAAAAAAAUAAUAAAAAAAUAAAUCAAUAUAAUUGAGUAAAAUGGUUUGUUAUGACUUUCUUUUUUAACAAAUUUCUACCAGAUACACUCAAGUUAUUAAUUCAGACAUUUAAUUACAAAAUUUUCAAAUAUUAAAAUAGAAAAAAACUAGAAAGUUCAAUUACCACGGAUCAUUGCAUAUAUUUUAAUUAAAUAUGUCUCAUGCUAUCAAAUAGAAAAUACAAGUAUCAUGCCGGAUAAUUAUCAUAAAUUAUACAUUUAUAAAUGUAAUUUUAAAAUUAUGUUAUAAUACAAUGAAAUAUAGUAUUGCAUAAUAUUAUGUACGAUAAGUCCAUUUAUUAACUUUACACAUAAGAAUUCAACUUAUAGACAAUAUUAUGAACAUUAUAUUAACAUUAUCAUGCACGCAGAAUUAUAUAAGAAGUCAUAAUAGUAUUUAUACGGCUUGGUAAUGCUAUUUUUUCAAAAUAUUCGUUGCCAAAAAAUAUGUAUUUUAACCAAUAAAGUUAGAAAUCCAUUUAUGUGCAUUUUUACUUUAGUUGACAUAAUUUUAUUAUAAAUUUUUUUAACAAUACAAUUUUAUCGUCAACCUAUAAUAAUUUAAAAAUAUUUAAAAAAUAACGAUACCAUGUAAAUGAAUUAUUAAUGAAAUUAAUUUCACCAUCAAUUUAUAAUUUAAAUAAUAUUAAAAAUAAUUUAUAUUCAUAAUUUAAUUGAAAAUAAAUACAUGAAAUACUAUAGAUAUUAAGGAACUUAUUUUACAUGUAUAUUAAGUGAUAUACACGUCAAAAUAUAUAGAAAAGAUUAAAUUUAGUAUUGCAUCUAUUAGCUUUAAAUAUAUUCAUUAUAAUUUUACGAUUCAUUAUUUUGAGUAAAAAUAAAUAUUUUAUCAAUUUAGUAUCUCAAUUAAACUCUUUUAAUAUGAAUGUACGCAAAAGAAAAAAAAAAUCUUUUAAUGUGAAUCUAUUAGAUACAUAAUAUUUUUCAAAUGAGAAUGAACAAUUUAUAUAAAUGAAAAUCAAAUUUAAUUUUUAUUAAUUUCUUUUAUCUUUGAAAUUUUAAUUUGAGUCCAUCUAGAGAAAAAAAAUUUAAAUUCAUAUAGAUAUUAUUAUUUUGUGUUUAAAUAAGAUGUCAAAUAUUAUUAUUUGAUGAUUGAAGUAAUAAAAAUAAAAAUUAUUGUUCUAAAAUGGUAUUAGUAAAGCUUUAUAUAAGUUUGAAAUAUUAAUUUUUAAUUUGCUUGAAAAAACUAUUAUCAACAUUUAAUAAUUAGUAUUUGAUGGAUAACUGUAUAUUAUAAAUGCAUAUAUACUAUAUUAACAGUAAUAUGUAUGUACAUGAAUUAUCAAAAAUUUCAAAUUUCAAUGAUUUCCAUAUUAUAAGAGAAGAUACAUGAAAUUUAUUGAUUAGUUGGGUAAAAAAAAAAAGAAAAAAAAUCAAAUUAAGAAAAAAAAGUUAACUAUUAAUAAUUUUUUAUAUUUAAAUUAAUGGUACAAAAUUAAUUAACUAUUCAACAUAUUUAUAAUUAUGCAUUUAAGAAAUCAAAUGAAAAACUCAUAUUAAGUUUCACUUAUAUAAAUUAAAAAAAAUUUAAUUUAAUAAAGUUUAAAUGGAUAACAAAAUUUAAAUUAUGGCAAGAAUGUAAUUAAAGAAUAAUAAAAUAGUUAAGUAGGAAAAUAAUGUUGGACAUAAAUGUAAUUAAAUAACAAUAUAAGGUUUAAAGAGAAAAAUAUUAUUGUUGUAAGAAUGUAAUUAACGAAUAAUAAAAAAAUUUAAAAAGGUAAUUAUCUUUGGAUAGAAAUGUAAUUAAGAAAAAUAAAAGGAUUACAUUGUAAAACUACUGUUACGGCAACAAUAACCGCUCACGCGGCUUAGUAUAUAAUAAUAAGUGUUUUUAAAAUCGGACCGGUUCACCGCGAACUGGAAGUCGGUCCGAUCUGAUUUGACAUAUAAACCCACCAGGUGUAAAACUGGUUUGAAUCAAAAAACUGGAUUGAACCAGCCAAACCCGGUUUUUAACUUUUUUUGCCUUUUAUUUUUUUUUUUUUAUCUUUAUCCAAGUUGUCCAGCCCAUAAUAAUUAUAAUCAUAUGCAUAUGUAUAAAGUUACUGAAAAUAUUUUCAAAACUUUUGAAUUUUUAAUAAAUCGAAAAUCCAAAUUUUGAUGGGAUGGGCUGUAAGUACUGGGCAAUCUUGAUUUGAGCCCAAAUUGCUAAUUGAGCUCAAACCCAAAACAAGUUAUCGAAACUUCUAGUCGAAAUUAAUUUAAACUUCUUAGAAUUGAUAUUAGACCACUUAAAAUAAUAAUAAAAAUUAUAUUUACCACUUAAUUAGGUAAUCCUAAAUUUGAUACAUAAUGCACUAUUUUUGAGUAAAUUGAGAAAGAGAUAUAAAUUUGACUAAAUCAAUUAAAUGAAUCAAACGCUUGAAAAUCAUUGGGAAAUAAAUCGAACUAAUAAGAAUAAAAUGGGGUUAUACAAUAAAUAUUUAAUUUGUUGUUAAACAGGAACCGUAAACCGGCUUAAAGUUUUCGGAAACCAAGAGAAAAGAAAAAAAACAGAUAACCAAACAAAAAUCGAGCUAAAUUGUUGAGUUGGACCAAAACGGUUCAAAUCGAACCGGAAUGGCCCAGAACUCUCUAGACCCAUCUUCCCCUCUCUUUUUCUCUCUUCUUCUCUUCUUCUUAGCGCACGCAAGGAGCAGUGCCGCUUCUCCCUCCCUCUCCUCGUUUCCGGCCACGCUCAACGAAGGCUAGGUGGCGGUCGGCUCGUCUGGUGCUGGUGGUCGUGUCUCCAGCCUCCUCUCAUGCGGAAAGAGCUUCAAUGGGAGCGAAACGGAGCUGUUCUCCUCGACAGCUUGUGCUCACCAAAUUCCGACGAUCCACGUCGUUUCCGGCAGCUUCAAGGCGAGGGACAUACUUCGAUCGACUCCUCUCUUCCCAGCAAGUCUGUUUCUCCCAUCAGUUUCGGCGACAAAGCUUGCCUGACGAAAACGCCAUGAGCGACGGUGGCGAAGCCACUAUCAGGGUCAUUUCCGACGAAACAAGGCUCACCCAAUCCAAAUUGAUCACGGAUCCGGAGUCCCCAUGAGAUUCCGAGUGUUUUGGUUUAUAUGUUGUAAAAUUCUGGACUAAAAUCACUUUUCCGACUGAUCCCUUUUUUUUUAAAAUAAAAUGAAAUAAAACAAAAUGAUCCUUUUUUUUUUAAUUAUGUUUAAAAAAACAAAAUAAAAUAAUAAUUUAAUAAAAAUGCAUGUUAUUUUUUAUGCUUGAAAACACAAAAAUUCUUAACAAUAAUGUAGAAAUUAGAUAUUAUGAAAACUAGAAAAACUUUAACAAUUAUAAAAAAUUCAGAAGUGGUUCAAAUGUUGAACUCAUUCUUUUAUUUGAUGUAGAGAGUAAAAAAAAUACCGAGAAAGUGAAAAAAAUUAGAGAUAAUAAUGUAAAAUAUAAAUGAAAAAUAAAGAAGGAAUAGAAGAAAAAGGCAUUGCACAUAUAGAAUUACAAUCAAAUGUUUAAAAAUAUAACAAAAAAAACAAAAUUACUUUUUAUUUAGAUCGAAUUAUGGCAUAUCCAUAUCCGAAUUGAAUUUUAUUUUAGCAUCAAUAUCAACCUACCACUGAAUAGAUCAGAUUUUAUCUACUCCAUUUGAAUUAGAUCAGACCGGAUAUCCAACUGAUCCUCCUACUUGUUUUGAAGCUCACUUCUGCUUGCAACUAUUCAAUUUCUUGGCCAGUAAUAUCCUGUGCAUUAGAUAGUGCUUCAAUUUGCUGUAAAAAGGUCCAAAUCUUUGAGAAGAAUGGGUUUUCUCUCAAACCUAUUGUUCCAUAUUUGCACAAUGAGCUUUUCCAUGUACCACAUUAACAUGGAACAUUUAAUUGAUUUUUCUAAAAAAUUUCAUACAUUCAAUUCAUUUUUUUUUUUUUUUUUUCCUAUUCAGACAUCAAAAGAAAUUUUUUUAAAUUUAAAUGUCAAAAAUGUUAUUAUCCUUAUAAGCUAAUGUGUUUAAUAUGUGUAAUUUUAUAAAUUAAAAUGUUGAACGAGUCAAAAUAAAAGUUAAAAAUACUAUUAAAACUUUUUUCUAAAUUUAGAUGCAAAAUCUAUGCAUUUCACCUAAAAAAAAAUGUAAAAAACAAAACAAAAGAACAUCAAUAACAUGAUUUUCAUAUGUUAUGUGUAUAAUACAUACAUAUAUGUGGGAGAGAGAGAGAGGUAUUACAUGAUUUUUUCUUUUUUUCUUUUAAACCACUAUUAACUCUUUUCUUUUUUUUAUACCACCGGUAGUGUUGUAUUCUUUGAAUAAAAACCUAAGGAAAUAUUUAUCCAUAUCCGGUAUAUAAGCCUACUUAUAUACUAGAUAUAUAAUAAAUAAUAUUUUUACUACAUUGCAAAAAAAGACAAAAUGAUAACAUUUCAAUUUUUUUUAAUUAACUUGAUAUAUGAAAUCAUUUAUCAAAUAUAAAUAAAAAAAUUCAUAAAAUUAUUCUUUUUUCGUGGUUCGUGACUAUCCUUCGUAAAUGCUUUUUCCAUGUGUUAAUUUAUUUUAAUUCAAGAUAACUAACGACCAAACCUUUUCAUUUGGUCCAAAAGCAUUUGACAUGUGCAAAAUGACAUUUAUGUUUAUAUGCAAAUUCAUUCCACCUAAAAAGACGUAAGAAACAAAACAAGUACAUCAGCCACAUGAUUUUCAUAUAUAUAUAUAUAUAUAUAUAUAUAAUGGGUAUGACGGUAGGUCGGGUAUGGAUCAGAUAUUACGUUACUCUCCCCACUAUAUAUUACUGCUCCAUCAUCUGCUUCGCUAAGGGUCGGUGCAAGGUGGGAUAUGGAUCAAGUUGGAUAAAUCCAUUUUCUUAAAAAAAUAUCUAAACUUUAUUUUUUUCAAAUUUUUAUUAAAAAUACCAAGUAAAUGAAUUAUUAACGAAAUUAAUUUCAUCGGAUUUAAAAUUUAAAUAAUUAUUAAAAAUAAUUUAUAUUCAUAAUUUAAUUGAAAAAUAAAUGCAUGAAAUACUAUAGAUAUUAAGGAACUUAUUUUAUUUUACAUGCAUAUUAAGUGAUAUACACGUCUAAAUAUAUAGAAAAGAUUAAAAUUAGUAUUGCAUGUAUUAGUUUUAAAUAACUUAUUCAUUAUAAUUUUACGAUUCAUUAUUUUGAGUAAAAAUUAAUAUUUUAUCCAUUUAGUAUCUCAAUUAAACUCUUUUAAUAUGAAUGUACGCAAAAGAAAAAAAAUCAUUUAACGUGAAUCUAUUAGAUAUAUAAUAUUUCUCAAAUGAGAAUGAACAAUUUAUAUAAAUGAAAUCAAAAUUUAAUUUUUAUUAAUUUCUUUUAUCUUUUUAAUUUUAAUUUGAGUCAAUCUAGACCAAAAAAAAAAAAUUAAAGUUAUAUAGAUAUUAUUAUUUUGUGUUUAAAUAAGAUGUCAAAUAAUGUUAUUUUUAUUGAUUGAAAGAAUAAAAAUAAAAAUUAUUGUUCUAAAAUAAUAUUAGUAAGUUUUAAUAUUUGGGAUUAAUUUCUGGUAGGCAAGCUUAUAAUUAUUUCAAACAAUUGCCCUCCAUUGAGAAAAUCUGAGAUUGAGUACUAUGCCAUGCUUUCUAAGGUUGGAGUACAUCAUUAUAAUGGAAGUAGUGCUCACUUUAUUUCUUUUGUUGAAUCUUGAUGGUCUACAUUUUUUUUUUGUUUCAUUUUGCUAUUUAUUUGAUAGCAGAGACUGAGAAUAACGUUUGUGUUUGCAUAUGAGAAUGAGGGUUGUACUUGUAAGAUGCAUGCCCUUCACCUCAUUAACUUCUGAUAAUGAUAGCCUCUCAGACAUUAUUUGCAUACCAUUUUAGAUUUAAUUGCAUACUUUCUAUUGUUUCUGAUAAUUUGGAGUGUGCGAGGGUGAUUUUGUAUCAGUUAGCUUCAUUAGUUUUUUGUCAAAGAUAUCAGUCACUUUGCAGAAUGGUAUGUUAUAUUAUCCUUGAGUUGUUGUAUAUGUAAGUUUGCGAUUGUAUACGAGUUGGAUUUACUUAAUAUGGUUUGUUCAGAUUUCUUUACACACAUUUGUUAGGUAUAUCCUGCAGGGGUCUUUAUUGGGUAUUUGGUCUUUGAAAAUAAAGUUUAAUGUCAAAAGCUUAAGUUGAAUUUUUGAACUUUUAGCAAGAAAAUAUAGAAUGAAACAUCCACAAAGAACCCCUAUACAGUUUGUAAAGUCAAAUCGAGCAAAAAUGCAUCAUAUUUUCUUUUUGAAGGUAUAGGGGAUUGGAAGGGUCCUUGUCUAUGAUUGCAUUUGUAUCUUAUCGAUGGAUGUUGUCAUCUAAUAUAUGUUGCUUAGAACCCGAAUUUGUUUAACUAGUUAUUGAAGCUUCAAAAAUGGCCGUUGAGCCCAAGACUUGCACAUGUGUGGAUAGCUUUAUAUUUUGUUCAGUGUUCAUAAAUUUGAAGCUGAUGUCUUCAUCAAUGUGUUUUUCCAGACAAUGUUGACUUGGGAACCGCUUGUGGGAAGUAUUUCCGUGUUUCUUGCCUGAGCAUUAUUGAUCCAGGUAAAAUAUCAUAUCAAUUGUGUUUUGAACAUUGUGUUAGUAUUUGAUCCACUGACAUUUGAGUGAAUGUCUCUGUUGUGCAGGUGAUUCAGAUAUCAUCAAGAGCCUCCCUAGUGAUCAAUGAGCAAUUAUAUUUCUCUUUCCUUUUUACAAUGUUUGAGCCCUCUCCAAUUUGGACUUUUCUUUUUCUUUCCCCGUGAUAUUAGACAUUAGUUUGAACUCUUUUUGUCAAAUUUUGCUAAGUGUGUACGUGAUGACUCAUUUUACUUGUUCUAUUUUGGAAAUCAUUUAUAAAUCAAGUUAUGCUACUACUAAUUAUGAGUACAAGAUCUAUGUUGUAGCCCGAGUUAUGCAUUAUGUCCAUGCUGAUUUACAGACACUAGUUGUGUUGGCAAAUAUUUUAUGUUAAAUUACUAAAACACUCCUAAUACAUCUCUGUUGGAAAAUUUUGUUUGUUUGCAUUUUGGGAAAUACGAUGUUUUAAUUGGAACAAUAUUGCUUCACUUUAUAUUUACUCGAUCUAUCAACAGAUUCUUUACUGAGGGAUAAAAAACGGAACGAAGUGCAUAAUAGGUCAGGUGUCUUGUGGUUAUGGUAAUUAUACGUAUCAAUGUAUGACUUGAUGAAUUGUACAACCCUUGGGCUCUGUUUGGGUUGCAGGAUUUGGCUUCAUACCACUAGUUUUGAAACAGACUCAGGUCUAAUCCAAAAAAACAAUCUCCUUAAGCAAUGACAGACUUUAGACUAAUUUCAUUAUGCAAUAUAUUCUACAAGGCAGUGGUUAUGGUUAUGAUAUAUGUUACUUGUAUCUAAUGCUUAAUUCUUUAAGGGGGACGGCUAUUAGGGUCGGUGAUCCUUGAACGGCAUCUACGCAGGGCUGUCUUCUUUCGCUGUACCUUUUAUCCUUUCGCCAUACCUCAAAGAACCUGAUCAUGGUGCAUUAUCGAUCUUACAUUUAUUCUCUGUGGAUGAUCUUUUCCUUUUCUUUAUAGUAAACCUCUUUAAAUGUGAUUAAUUAGAAGUUGUUUGGGUGUUUGUGAAAGAAGAAUUUCUUAGACUCGUUUACUACGUCAGCUAUAGAAUCGUUCAAUGGGACAAAGUCAUAUCAAAUAAAGUUGCAUAAGUAGUUUGCUUUUUUUUUUUUCCUAAACUUAUUUUCUAUUAAUUUUUCAUGAUUCUCGUUUAGUUAGAGAUAAGAAAUCUAAUUGAAAGCAGUUAAUUGAAUGAGUUUAUAGUUGACGCAGUAGAUUACGCUAUCUAAACAUUUCUCUUGUGAAAGAGCUUCACGCAAAACUAUGAAAUUUCAAAAAUCCCCUUGAGUAAUAAUACUUGGACUGACGUUCAUAUGGAAUGCCAUAUCGAGAAACAAUCAGGCUUCCCAAAAGGUUAAAUCAUAUUAAGAAGUAAUUUUAUGUUUUUUUUUUUUUUUGUUGAUUUUCUAAGUGCAGAUAGAUUUCUCUUCAUUUUUGAUUCAUAUACUUCUUAUGGUAUUUUAAGCACCUAUGUUUAGCGAUGAUCAUUGAUCGGAUUCGGAUCGGAUUAUAUAAAAUCCAUAUUCGAUUCAUGAAGAUUUUUAUAUAUUUAUGUCCAUAUGCGCUCCGGGCAAAUUCAAAUCAGAUCAAAUGUUGGAUUUGAUAUGAUCCUUUUUUUAUUAUGUUUAAAAGAAAAAAAAAUAAUUUAAUAAAAAUGCAUAUUAUUUUUUAUGCUUGAAAACACAAAAAUUUUUAAUAAUACUUGAAAAAAUUGUAUACUAUGACAACUAGAAAAACUUUAACGAUCGUAAAAAAUUCAGAAGUGGUUGAAAUGUUGAACUCAUUCUUUUAUUGUAGAGAUUAAAAAAAAUACGAAGAAAGUGAAAAAGUUGGAGAUAAUAAUGUAAAAUAUAAAUGAAAAAUGAAGAAGGAAUAGAAGAAAAAGGCAUUACACAUAUAGAAUUACAAUCAAAAGUUAAAAAAUAUAACAAAAAGGCAAAAUUACUUUUUACAGAUUGGAUUUAGAUCGAAUUAUGGCAUAUCCAUAUCUGCAUCGAAUUUUAUUUUAGCAUCAAUAUCAAUCUACCACUGAAUAGAUCAGAUUUUAUCUACUCUAUUUGAAUUGGAUCGGACCGGAUAUCCAACUGAUCGGGUGACUUCAUCCUCCUACCUGUUUUGAAGCUCACUUUUGCUUGCAACUAUUCAGUUUCUUGGCCAGUAAUAUCCUGUGCAUUAGAUAGUGCUUCAAUUUGCUGUAAAAAGGUCCAAAUCUUUGAGAAGAAUGGGUUUUCUCUCAAACCUAUGGUUCCACAUUUGUACAAUGAGCUUUUCCCUGUACCACAUUAGCAUGGAACAUUUAAUUGAUUUUUCUAAAAAAAUUCUUACAUUCAAUUCAUAAUUUUUUUUUAUUUUUUAUUUUUUAUUUUUUUUUUUUGCAUUUAGAUAUCAAAAGAAAUUUUUUUUUUAAAUUUAAAUGCCAAAAGUAGCAUUAUCCUUAUAAGCUAAAGUUUUUAAUAUGUGUAAUUUUAUAAAUUGAAAUGAUCAAUGGGUCGAAACAAAAGUUAAAAUACUAUUAAAACUUUUUUGUAAAUUUAGAUGCAAAUUUAUGCAUUUCACUUAAAAAAACAUGUAAGAAACACCUAAAAAAAAGUGUAAGAAACAAAACAAGAACAUCAAAUUUUAAUUUAAUUUUUUGAAAAUAAAUCAAAUUUCAAAUAUUAUUAGUAAUAAAAAAAUUAUCUAUAUUUCAAAUUAUAGCAUAUAUAAAAUUUUACUAAGAAUAUUUUAGAAAAUCACAUUAUUCUCUUUCUUUACCAUAUUUAUAUAUGUUAUGAAAUUUAUUUAAAAUUGUCUGUCAAAUAACAAUGCAUAAAAAAAAUGAUGCAAACGAAAAAAAAUCUAUAAUUAACGAUUAUCAUAGUAUCUGAAUUGAACCUUCUCAAUAAGUUCACUUCAAAUUAUACAUUCAAGAUGUAAUUUGCAUAUCAGAUUACAUGUUAAAUGUUCUCGCAGCCAUAAAUUAUAUACAUAUAAAGGGAACCUCCAUCCAAAAGAGUGUCAAAAUAAUUAAACAUGUUAAAAUAAUUAAUCUUAUAAAUUAACUUUCAAAUAUUAUAAUUAUUAAAAAAGAUAUUUGUUGACUAUUUAUUGAUAUCAAAAUAAAUCAGUCUCAAAUUUGAAAAAUAAAAUAAACCAUAUCCAAUAAUAAUUGAGAAUUACAAUCUAAUAAAGAGGAACACAUGUUUUUAUUUUUUAUUUUUUUAAAAUUUGCUUUCCUAUAAGAUACGUGUGUGUUUGUUUUUGUUCAAUAAUUUCUAUGCAAGUUUAGGUAUAGACUUGACAAUAAAAUUAUAUUUGAAUUAUCUCCUCUAAUGCUAAAAAAAAAAAUUUAUUAUUAAGAAAAUUCCAAAUUUAAUUAAGAACAAUUACAACUUUAUAAUUUAAAGAAUAAAUAUUUGAUUUCUUGAAAAAAUAGUAAAUAUCGUAUAAUACAUUUUUUAUUGAAAUAUUAAAUUGAUAAACAGAAAAAAAUAUAAUUAAUUUAAAUGAAAAAAAUCAAAUAUAAUAGAAAGCAACUAAAUUAAUAUAUAAAUUUUUUUUACAAAAAAAAUAAUUUUUAUUAAAUAAUAUUAUCCAGGAGAAACUUAAUUUAUUUAAAUACUGUCCAAAAUCAUUUAUAUAUGAAAUUUAAUACUAAAUGAUGAUUAGUUUCUUAUAAAUUUUAAAUAAAUUUAUUAUUUUAUGUAUAUCAUAGAAAAAUUCACUAAAAGAAACUCAUUAACAAGAUUAAUUUUGAGACAUACAUAUUUUAAAACUUUAGUGGCCGCCCUUGGUCAGAAGCACCAAUAGAUAGUCCAAAAAGCUGCCAGAAUACACUAAUAUUUCAUGUCUUAUAGGAUAAGGAUAGAAAAAUUUAAUAAUAACAAUAGCUACAAAUAAAUAUACAUAACGCACAUGAUUUGCAUAUGUUAAAUCUGCUUCCUGCUAUAUUCAAAUUGUGGUUGAUGCAUGCACUGGCCAGUCUAUAUAAAGCAUGAAGAUGAAACAAUGUUCACCAAGUUAUCUAGCAUUUGAGCUUUAAGAAAAAAAGAAAAAAAAAGGAGGGAGAGAAAUGGCAGGCCUAGGUUUAAGCGUGAUUGGUAACGUAGCAGAUAGGUGGAGGGAGCUGAGCGGUGAAAACAACUGGGAGGGUCUGUUAGAUCCUUUAGACUUUGAUCUCCGUUGUUCCAUUCUUAACUAUGGCGAUAGAGCUGCAGCUAUUGGCGAUGCGUACAAUAACAAGAAGUAUGAAGAUUUGCAUGGGUUUAGCCGUGUUCCACCAAAUGAGUUGUUCACUAAAGUCGGUGUAAGAGCUCGCAAUGAAUUCGAUUAUACUGUGACUGACUUCAUUUAUUCAAGACUAGAGGUUCAAUGGUUCGACACUGUCAUUGAAGAUGAGUCCACUUGGUGUGCGUAUGUGGCAGGGGCAACAGAUGAUGGAAAAAAGAAGCUUGGAAGAAGAGAUAUUGUUGUUUCUUGGAGAGGAACCAUAUUGCCUGGAGAAAAGCUCAAUGACUUAGAAUUUAUACCAAUUCCAGCUUCAGAUAUAUUUCCAAAUAAUAACAAUGAUCCUCUUAUCCACUUUGGCUUUCACCGAAUCUAUACAACAGAAAACGACAACUCCAUUUACAACAAGAAAAGUGCAAGGGACCAGGUAUCUUUCUACUAUUCUGAUCUUGACGUCUCUUAUAUGCUCUAUACGAUAUUAAUACUUACUUUAUUUAGAGGUUUAAGAUCGAUCAGAAAGUUUGACUGAAGGCAUAAUGUAAGCAAGACUUAUCCUAUAUUCAAAUAUAUGCAUGCAGGUUCUAAACGCAGUGAGCAAAUUGGUUGAUCAAUACAAAGAUGAGGAAGUGAGUAUAACAGUAACUGGCCACAGCUUGGGAUCGGCACUUGCGACCUUAAACGCAAUGGAUAUAGUUUAUAAAGGCAUUAACAAGCCAACAGGAACUGCAAACAAAAGUUUUCCGGUGACAGCGAUUGUAUUCGCUAGUCCUAUGGUAGGAAACGAAGGAUUCAAGAAGGUAUUUGAUGAGCUUUCUGAUAUUCAUGUGUUAAGGGUAGAAAAUGCUAACGACCCAGUUCCUAAACUUCCACCAAAUGAUAUACUAAUACCUCAGCAUCGUUAUUAUCAUGUGGGAGAAAGCUUACCAAUUGACACUACACUCUCACCCUUCUUAAAGACUAGUGAUGUUAAUCCACAUGAUUUGAACGUCUACUUGCAUGGAGUUGCAGGAAC
rnacentral:lncRNA from 1 species